rnacentral:rRNA from 1 species
UACGUAGGGUGCAAGCGUUGUCCGGAAUUAUUGGGCGUAAAGAGCUCGUAGGCGGCUUGUCACGUCGACUGUGAAAACCCGGGGCUCAACUCCGGGCCUGCAGUCGAUACGGGCUGGCUUGAGUGCGGUAGGGGAGACUGGAAUUCCUGGUGUAGCGGUGAAAUGCGCAGAUAUCAGGAGGAACACCGGUGGCGAAGGCGGGUCUCUGGGCCGUAGCUGACGCUGAGGAGCGAAAGCGUGGGGAGCGAACAGG